GCCGAAGUGGCUCAGUGGUGGAGCGCCUGACUCAUAAUCAGGAGGUCGUGGGUUCAAUUCCCAUCUUCGGCA
rnacentral:tRNA from 1 species